rnacentral:misc_RNA from 1 species
AGCAGCCGCGGUAAUUCCAGCUCCAAUAGCGUAUAUUAAAGUUGUUGCAGUUAAAAAGCUCGUAGUUGAAUUUCGGGAUCAAUACGUCGGUCGUGCUUAGGUACGUACUGGCGUAAUUGAUUUCUCCCUUCUGACGAACCAUGAUGUCAUUAACUUGGUGUCAUGGGAAAUCAGGACUGUUACUUUGAAAAAUUAGAGUGUUUAAAGCAGGCUCACGCUUGAAUACAUUAGCAUGGAAUAAUGAAAUAGGACGUUCGAUCCUAUUUUGUUGGUUUUUAGGAUCAACGUAAUGAUUAAUAGGGAUAGUUGGGGGCAUUAGUAUUCAAUUGUCAGAGGUGAAAUUCUUGGAUUUAUUGAAGACUAACUACUGCGAAAGCAUUUGCCAAGGAUGUUUUCAUUAAUCAAGAACGAAAGUUAGGGGAUCGAAGACGAUCAGAUACCGUCGUAGUCUUAACCAUAAACUAUGCCGACUAGGGAUCGGAUGAUGUUAAUUUUUAAUGACUCAUUCGGCGCCUUACG